rnacentral:rRNA from 1 species
GACGAACGCUGGCGGCGUGCUUAACACAUGCAAGUCGAACGGAAAGGCCCUGCUUUUGUGGGGUGCUCGAGUGGCGAACGGGUGAGUAACACGUGAGUAACCUGCCCUUGACUUUGGGAUAACUUCAGGAAACUGGGGCUAAUACCGGAUAGGAGCUCCUGCUGCAUGGUGGGGGUUGGAAAGUUUCGGCGGUUGGGGAUGGACUCGCGGCUUAUCAGCUUGUUGGUGGGGUAGUGGCUUACCAAGGCUUUGACGGGUAGCCGGCCUGAGAGGGUGACCGGCCAGAUUGGAACUGAGAGACGGCCCAGAGUCCUGCGGGAGGAAGCAGUGGGGAAUAUUGCACAAUGGGCGGAAGCCUGAUGCAGCAACGCCGCGUGCGGGAUGACGGCCUUCGGGUUGGAAACCGCUUUCGCCUGUGACGAAGCGGGAGUGACGGUAAUGGGUAAAGAAGCACCGGCUAACUACGUG